rnacentral:lncRNA from 1 species
CAAGUUGACGACGAGCCAAAGCAGGGUUGUAGUUAAUUCCUUCUUGUGUACCAACGAGAGGCACAUUAGAAUUCGCCACAACUAUCAAUAAUCUCCAAACUGCUUAAAGAAGGAUCAUACCAAACUAUAUCAUCACUAGAGAGAGACAUAAGUCUCUGAGACCACCUUAGACAUUGUUUGUUCUCCACAAAAGCAGGCGUCUGAGGCAAGUGCGAAAAAAACCACUUGUAUAGAAGAGGAAUGCAACAGACAAUUGUUCCA